rnacentral:rRNA from 1 species
UACGUAGGGGGCUAGCGUUGUCCGGAUUUAUUGGGCGUAAAGAGCGUGUAGGCGGCCUGGUAGGCCUGCUGUGAAAACUCGAGGCUCAACCUCGAGAUGUCGGCGGAAACCAUCUGGCUAGAGUCCGGAAGAGGAGAGUGGAAUUCCUGGUGUAGCGGUGAAAUGCGCAGAUAUCAGGAAGAACACCUAUGGCGAAGGCAGCUCUCUGGGACGGUACUGACGCUGAGACGCGAAAGCGUGGGGAGCGAACAGG